GUUUGACCUCGGAUCAGGUAGGGAUACCCGCUGAACUUAAGCAUAUCAAUAAGCGGAGGAAAAGAAACCAACAGGCAU
rnacentral:rRNA from 1 species